UGGGGAAUAUUGGACAAUGGGCGAAAGCCUGAUCCAGCCAUGCCGCGUGUGUGAAGAAGGUCUUCGGAUUGUAAAGCACUUUAAGUUGGGAGGAAGGGCAGUAAGCGAAUACCUUGCUGUUUUGACGUUACCGACAGAAUAAGCACCGGCUAACUCUGUGCCAGCAGCCGCGGUAAUACUGCAGGUGCAAGCGUUAAUCGGAAUUACUGGGCGUAAAGCGCGCGUAGGUGGUUCGUUAAGUUGAAUGUGAAAGCCCCGGGCUCAACCUGGGAACUACAUGCAAAACUGGCGAGCUAGAGUAGGGCAGAGGGUGGGAGAAUUUCCUGUGUAGCGGUGAAAUGCGUAGAUAUAGGAAGGAACACCAGUGGCGAAGGCGACCACCUGGGCUCAUACUGACACUGAGGUGCGAAAGCGUGGGGAGCAAACAGG
rnacentral:rRNA from 1 species